AUAUUUGUCAGAACUCAAGAAUAGACUAAAUACUACUCGUAGGAGAGUGCAGUUCUUCCUCCUGUGCCCAUUGUAAACUCCCCUCCUUUCCCCCAAAGGCUUCUUCACCUCCGAAACAUAAGGAAUUCUCAUGGCCGCAACAUACAAUUAAGAGUAAAGUACAUGACCGGUUCUUAAACGUGUGGCGCGAUACCACCUAUGUCCAUAAGCUUAGAAAAAUACAUGUUUAGGUCCAUGAACUUGUUUUAAUGUACCAUCCAGGUCCAUGAACUUAUUUUAAUGUACCAUCCAGGUCCAUGAACUUAUUUUAAUGUACCAUCCAGGUCCAUGAACGUAUUUUAAAUGUACCAUCCAGGUACAUAAACUCGUUUGUACCAUCCAAGUCCAUGAUUUUAGACGUUAAAACAAGUUCAUGAACCUAAACAUGCAUUUUCUAAGUUUAUAGACCUAAGUGGUACCGUGCCACAAGUUUAAGGACUGGUCAUGUACUUUACUCUACUAUUAAUAUGGAGUAACUAUGAUGCGAAUCUCACUAGCUGAAGUAAGAUUAGUAAUGCUCGCCAGAUACACUGAUCACAAUCUUAUCCCGGCAUUAGCAGCCAAACCGAGUGACCAGCGUCGUCGCCCACAGCUUUCAUAGGAGAAAGAAGGGAGAGGGGGGAGCAGAAGGAUCCGUACC
rnacentral:lncRNA from 1 species